CUGGACAGUGUGGAAGCAGGACUGGCCCUGAGGGUUGCCAGCACUCAGAGCUGCAGGCUGCCGCUCCAAUUAUGAUGUCACAGAAAGAUGGAUCAACUCUCAAGGCCAGUGACUAUAAGCAGGCCUUUCCUCUCCUUGUCCUCACAGAAUUGGUGAAACUCAAGGCAGUGCCCGCUUUUGUACCGGCGAAACCAGCUGUGGCCGGUCCACAGGCAGCAGCCACAUGCAGCUUCCUUGAGCUUUAGAGGACUCAAGCUGUCUUUGCACAAAGGUGUGACCUGGCCCAGAAGGUGAAGAACGAGAGACGUAGUAACAGGCCUUCCGAGGAUCCGCAGGCAGUGGAGGUAUGACUGGCUGCCUCACUAAAUAAAAUGGUCUGAGUUCAGCUCCUCUGCAAGCCCAAGAGAGGAAGCCUGGAAGCAGAUGCACCUAGAACUUCAUGGUGCCCACCAUUUUGGGAGAAACAGUCUGGAGCUGAACUUGGUGAUGUCAUUUUUGGGACGCCGGAG